GACGAACGCUGGCGGCGUGCUUAACACAUGCAAGUCGAACGGUAAGGCCCUUCGGGGUACACGAGUGGCGAACGGGUGAGUAACACGUGGGUGAUCUGCCCUGCACUUCGGGAUAAGCCUGGGAAACUGGGUCUAAUACCGGAUAGGACCACUGCCUGCAUGGGUGGUGGUGGAAAGCUUUUGCGGUGUGGGAUGGGCCCGCGGCCUAUCAGCUUGUUGGUGGGGGGAUGGCCUACCAAGGCGACGACGGGUAGCCGGCCUGAGAGGGUGACCGGCCACACUGGGACGGAGAUACGGCCCAGACUCCUACGGGAGGCAGCAGGGGGGAAUAGUGCACAAUAGGCGCAAGCCUGAUGCAGCGACGCCGCGUGAGGGAUGACGGCCUUCGGGUUGUAAACCUCUUUCAGCACCGACGAAGCGCAAGUGACGGUAGGUGCAGAAGAAGGACCGGCCAACUACGUGCCAGCCGCCGCAGUAA
rnacentral:rRNA from 1 species